rnacentral:rRNA from 1 species
UGAGGAAUAUUGGUCAAUGGGCGAGAGCCUGAACCAGCCAAGUAGCGUGCAGGAUGACGGCCCUACGGGUUGUAAACUGCUUUUGCGGGAGAAUAACCGGCGCCACGCGUGGCGCCCUGCAGGUAUCCCGUGAAUAAGGACCGGCUAAUUCCGUGCCAGCAGCCGCGGUAAUACGGAAGGUCCGGGCGUUAUCCGGAUUUAUUGGGUUUAAAGGGAGCGCAGGCGGAGGAUCAAGCCAGCCGUGAAAUGGCGGCGCUCAACGCCGUCCGGCGGUUGGAACUGGUCCCCUUGAUUGCGGGAGAGGAAGGCGGAACUCGUGGUGUAGCGGUGAAAUGCAUAGAUAUCACGAAGAACCCCGAUUGCGAAGGCAGCCUUCCGGCCCGUAAAUGACGCUCAUGCUCGAAGGCGCGGGUAUCAAACAGG